CCCGGGGCGCCCGAGGGG
rnacentral:miRNA from 1 species